UACGUAGGGUGCAAGCGUUAAUCGGAAUUACUGGGCGUAAAGCGUGCGCAGGCGGUUCUAUAAGACAGAUGUGAAAUCCCCGGGCUCAACCUGGGAACUGCAUUUGUGACUGUAGAGCUGGAGUGCGGCAGAGGGGGAUGGAAUUCCGCGUGUAGCAGUGAAAUGCGUAGAUAUGCGGAGGAACACCGAUGGCGAAGGCAAUCCCCUGGGCCUGCACUGACGCUCAUGCACGAAAGCGCGGGGAGCAAACAGG
rnacentral:rRNA from 1 species